UACGUAGGGAGCAAGCGUUGUUCGGAUUUACUGGGCGUAAAGGGCGCGUAGGCGGCGCGGUAAGUCACUUGUGAAAUCUCUGAGCUUAACUCAGAACGGCCAAGUGAUACUGCAGUGCUAGAGUGCAGAAAGGGCAAUCGGAAUUCUUGGUGUAGCGGUGAAAUGCGUAGAUAUCAAGAGGAACACCAGUGGCGAAGGCGGCUCACUGGCCCGAUACUGACGCUGAGGCACGAAAGCGUGGGGAGCAAACAGG
rnacentral:rRNA from 1 species